AACGAACGCUGGCGGCAUGCUUAACACAUGCAAGUCGAACGAUGCUUUCGGUCCUAGUGGCGCACGGGUGCGUAACGCGUGGUAAUCUGCCCUUGGGUUCGGAACAACAGUGAGAAAUUUCUGCUAAUACCGGAUGAUGUCUUCGGACCAAAGAUUUAUCGCCCAGGGAUGAGCCCGCGUAUGAUUAGCUGGUUGGUUGGGUACUCGCCUACCAAGGCGACGGUCCUUAUCUGGUCUGAGAGGAUGAUCAGCCGCACUGGGACUGAGACACGGACCCGACUCCUACGGGAGGGAGCAGUGGGGAAUAUUGGAGGAUGAGCGCAAGCCUGAUCCAGCAAUGCCGCGUGAGUGAUGAAUGGCUUAGGGUUGUAAAGCUCUUUUACCCGGGAUGUUAAUGACAGUACCGGGAGAAUAAGCUCCGGUUAACUACGUG
rnacentral:rRNA from 1 species